rnacentral:rRNA from 1 species
AGUUUGAUCCUGGCUCAGGACGAACGCUGGCGGCGUGCUUAACACAUGCAAGUCACGGGGGCUCAGCAAUGAGCAACCGGCGAACGGGUGCAUAACACGUGAGGAACUUGCCGAUCUGAGGGGGAUAGCCGGCCCAACGGCCGGGUAAUACCGCAUACGCUCGUUGUGGGGAGUCCCACGAUGAGGAAACCUCCGGGGCAGAUCGAGAGUCUCGCGGCCUAUCAGCUAGUUGGUGCGGUCAUGGCGCACCAAGGCGACGACGGGUAGCUGGUCUGAGAGGAUGGCCAGCCACAUUGGGACUGAGAAACGGCCCAGACUCCUACGGGAGGCAGCAGUGGGGAAUCUUGCGCAAUGGUCGAAAGACUGACGCAGCGACGCCGCGUGUGGGAGGACGCCUUUCGGGGUGUAAACCACUGUUGCCCGGGACGAACAGCCUCUUUCGAGGGGCCUGACGGUACCGGGUGAGGAAGCACCGGCUAACUCCGUGCCAGCAGCCGCGGUAGUCGGGCCCAAUCGCC